AUGGCUCAACCAUACAAUUUACUGUACACAGUGAGAUACAUCCCACUGAUUCUCACUGUCGCUACAGGCAGUUUUGCAGACAAAAUUGGGCCGACAGAUGAAGAUGCCAACAUUGUCAGGAAAGAAACAGACACUGUUACUCUGAACUGUUCAUUUGAGUCAAGCAGCGAACACAUUGAUCUUUACUGGUACAAACAAUAUCCGAACAGCGCACCACAGUUUUUACUGUAUAAAGGUGCGCGGUCAUACCAGUAUAGUACUGGGAGCACUCCUGAUGAUCGCCGAUUAGAGUCAAAAACAACCAGAGACUCCACUGAACUUACUAUCAGAGGCCUAAAGCUCUCAGAUUCUGCGCUCUAUCACUGUGCUCUUAGAGAUGCAGCACAGUAA